AACACUGAAUCUUCUGGAUACUGUGGGCAGAAAGCAAGACAACUCAAACACCACAGCAGCCACAGGGAAAAAUACACCUACACAGUACAGAAAUCACAUGACCACUACCUGUGGUGUGUACCCAGCAUGGUUGAUGGUGUGUUCUAACACAAAAUGUCCAACAGUCUGAGGAGCCCCUAAAGAUGCUGCUGGGAAAGAAGAAGCCAAGUGACAACAGAAUGUUCUAUGAACCUGAGGGUGGGGCAGUGGACUGGGAGCUUUCCUAAGCCAGAGGAAUGAAGACAAGGGGUGUGUGGGGUAAGGGCGGAGGGAAGAGCUUAAUAAACUCAUGGAACAGGACUACCACACACAAAA
rnacentral:lncRNA from 1 species